AACGAACGCUGGCGGCAUGCCUAACACAUGCAAGUCGAACGAGACCUUCGGGUCUAGUGGCGCACGGGUGCGUAACGCGUGGGAACCUGCCCUUAGGUUCGGAAUAACUCCCCGAAAGGGGUGCUAAUACCGGAUAAUGUCUUCGGACCAAAGAUUUAUCGCCUUUGGAUGGGCCCGCGUUGGAUUAGCUAGUUGGUAGGGUAAAAGCCUACCAAGGCGACGAUCCAUAGCUGGUCUGAGAGGAUGAUCAGCCACACUGGGACUGAGACACGGCCCAGACUCCUACGGGAGGCAGCAGUGGGGAAUAUUGGACAAUGGGCGAAAGCCUGAUCCAGCAAUGCCGUGGGAGUGAUGAAGGCCUUAGGGUUGUAAAGCUCUUUUACCCGGGAUGAUAAGGACAGUACCGGGAGAAUAAGCUCCGGCUAACUCCGU
rnacentral:rRNA from 1 species